CUGCAAGGUCACACUUUUCAUGCAGACAGAGAUGAAUACGCCUCUGAAUAUCUGCCUCUGUUUCUGAAGGCUGUCAAGUCACUAUAGAAGCACUCAUCGCUGCAUUUCAUCACUGAAAGGUGAUCAGGCUGGUUUGCUUGAAAGAAAUUAUACAACAACAGAUGUGCGUCUCUUGCUGUUUCGCUGGAUGUUUCCUGAAUGUUCGCUCGUCUGCGUUGAAGGUUAAAAAGUGACUUCGGUUGGAAAGCAGAGAAAUGACUCAUGUUGAGGACGGGGGUUCUUCAAGACACGUUAAGGAAAAGCCGAAUAAACGUACAAACGCAUCAUAAAAGCGGAUUGGUUCCAGGACAGAGAUGCACAGCCGCUCUUAGACACACCACUUAAUUUCAACACACAACAUCAUCCACGAGUUUGGUAAUGGCUCCACUCAGCAUUAAUUACGCCAUCUAGCCUCCGGUUUCACCUCGCCAUCGCCCUGAAACGCUCCACUGCACCAUCAAACAGCGGAAGGGUAAAAAAGGUUCACUUUCACAACACCGGUCAAUAUAUGGAUCGCCGUGUGGACGGUGGUCUUAUUUAAAGUCUGGGAGACGGGGAUCGAUUGAGACGCUGGACCACUGAUCCAUCACAUCUUUCGCUGUGGGUGCUGUCUGAGGUCUGUCAAGUCCAUUGUCUUGACCACGUUUUACAGACCAGCGAGUAUUCGCUUAAUGUUCGGAGUCGGGUUGGUGUUGAAUUAACAUUGAUCAGACCAAGCCUGCAAGCUAGGAAUGGAAUCUAAAGCGCUAGAGUAAUUAAACCUAAUUAUUAAAAGUCU